AUUGAACGCUGGCGGCAUGCCUUACACAUGCAAGUCGAACGGCAGCACGGGUGCUUGCACCUAGUGGCGAGUGGCGAACGGGUGAGUAAUACAUCGGAACGUACCUUAUCGUGGGGGAUAACGCAGCGAAGGCUGUGCUAAUACCGCAUACGCCCUGAGGGGGAAAGCGGGGGAUCGAAAGACCUCGCGCGAUUAGAGCGGCCGAUGCCUGAUUAGCUUGUUAGUGGGGUAAAAGCCCACCAAGGCGACGAUCAGUAGCUGGUCUGAGAGGACGAUCAGCCACACUGGGACCGAGACACGGCCCAGACUCCUACGGGAGGCAGCAGUGGGGAAUUUUGGACAAUGGGGGCAACCCUGAUCCAGCAAUGCCGCGUGAGUGAAGAAGGCCUUCGGGUUGUAAAGCUCUUUUGUCAGGGAAGAAACACCGGCUCUAACACAGUCCGGGAAUGACGGUACCUGAAGAAUAAGCACCGGCUAACUACGUGCCAGCAGCCGCCGUAA
rnacentral:rRNA from 1 species